rnacentral:rRNA from 1 species
GACGAACGCUGGCGGCGUGCCUAAUACAUGCAAGUCGAACGCAGUGGGGAUGGGUGAGUAACACGUGGGUAACCUCCCAUCAGAGGGGAUAACACUUGGACACAGGUGCUAAACCGAUACAGAUGGAUGUACCCGCGGUGCAUUAGCUAGUUGGUGAGGUAACGGCUCACCAAGGCCACGAUGCAUAGCCGACCGUAGAGGGGUAUCGGCGACACUGGGACUGAGACAAGGCCCGGACUCCGAAGGGAGGCAGCAGUAGGGAAUCUACGGCAAUGGACGAAAGUCUGACCGAGCAACGCCGCGUGAGUGAAGAAGGUUUUCGGAUCGUAAAACUCUGUUGUUAGAGAAGCGGUAUCUAACCAGAAAGCCACGGCUAACUACGUGCCAGCAGCCGCGGUAAUUC